rnacentral:rRNA from 1 species
UCCAGACUCCUACGGGAGGCAGCAGUGGGGAAUAUUGCACAAUGGGGGGAACCCUGAUGCAGCGACGCCGCGUGAGUGAAGAAGUAUUUCGGUAUGUAAAGCCCUAUCAGCAGGGAAGAAAAUGACGGUACCUGACUAAGAAGCCCCGGCUAACUACGUGCCAGCAGCCGCGGUAAUACGUAGGGGGCAAGCGUUAUCCGGAUUUACUGGGCGUAAAGGGAGCGCAGGCGGCGCGCCAAGUCUGAUGUGAAACCCCGGGGCUCAACCCCGGGCAUGCAUUGGAAACUGGCGGGCUGGAGUGCCGGAGAGGUAAGCGGAAUUCCUAGUGUAGCGGUGAAAUGCGUAGAUAUUAGGAGGAACACCAGUGGCGAAGGCGGCCUGCUGGACGACAACUGACGGUGAGGCGCGAAAGCGUGGGGAGCAAACAGGAUUAGAUACCCUCGUAC